rnacentral:rRNA from 1 species
UACAGAGGGGGCAAGCGUUAUUCGGAAUUAUUGGGCGUAAAGGGCUCGUAGGCGGCCUGGCAAGUGGAAGGUGAAAUCCCUCGGCUUAACCGGGGAACUGCGUCUGAUACUGGAUGGCUUGAGUUUGGGAGAGGGAUGCGGAAUUCCAGGUGUAGCGGUGAAAUGCGUAGAUAUCUGGAGGAACACCGGUGGCGAAGGCGGCAUCCUGGACCAACACUGACGCUGAGUGAGCGAAAGCCAGGGGAGCAAACGGG